CGACGGGUGAGUAACACGUGGAUAACCUACCUAUAAGACUGGGAUAACUUCGGGAAACCGGAGCUAAUACCGGAUAAUAUAUUGAACCGCAUGGUUCAAUAGUGAAAGACGGUUUUGCUGUCACUUAUAGAUGGAUCCGCGCCGCAUUAGCUAGUUGGUAAGGUAACGGCUUACCAAGGCAACGAUGCGUAGCCGACCUGAGAGGGUGAUCGGCCACACUGGAACUGAGACACGGUCCAG
rnacentral:rRNA from 1 species